rnacentral:rRNA from 1 species
UACGGGGGGGGCAAGCGUUGUUCGGAAUUACUGGGCGUAAAGGGCGUGUAGGUGGCCAACUAAGUCCGACGUGAAAUCCCCAGGCUUAACCUGGGAACUGCGUCGGAUACUGGAUGGCUUGAAUUCGGGAGAGGGAUGCAGAAUUCCAGGUGUAGCGGUGAAAUGCGUAGAUAUCUGGAGGAAUACCGGUGGCGAAGGCGGCAUCCUGGACCGAGAUUGACGCUAAAGCGCGAAAGCCAGGGGAGCAAACGGG